ACACAGAUUCUUUUCUCCCACCUCUUCCCAUCUCAGACAAUCAUUAACAGUAUACAACAACUUUCAAACUCCCUUCUUCAAUGGACUACCAAGAUCAGAAAGCCACUAUAAAACCCAAUGAAGUCUUCAUUUGAUGCUCUGAACAGGGAAAGUUUAGAGUGAGGGUUGACAUUUCACAUUUAGUAUGUUGUUUAAUAACUUUU